rnacentral:rRNA from 1 species
GAUGAACGCUGGCGGCGUGCCUAAUACAUGCAAGUCGAGCGAACAGACGAGGAGCUUGCUCCUCUGACGUUAGCGGCGGACGGGUGAGUAACACGUGGAUAACCUACCUAUAAGACUGGGAUAACAUCGGGAAACCGGAGCUAAUACCGGAUCAUAUAUUGAACCGCAUGGUUCAAUAGUUAAAGACGGUUUUGCUGUCACUUAUAGAUGGAUCCGCGCCGCAUUAGCUAGUUGGUAAGGUAACGGCUUACCAAGGCGACGAUGCGUAGCCGACCUGAGAGGAUGAUCGGCCACACUGGAACUGAGACACGGUCCAGACUCCUACGGGAGGCAGCAGUAGGGAAUCUUCCGCAAUGGGCGAAAGCCUGACGGAGCAACGCCGCGUGAGUGAUGAAGGUCUUCGGAUCGUAAAACUCUGUUAUUAGGGAAGAACAAAUGUGUAAGUAACUAUGCACGUCUUGACGGUACCUAAUCAGAAAGCCCCGGCUAACUACGUG